UCCGUAGGUGAACCUGCGGAAGGAUCAUUACUUGCGGUAGUUUACUACUGUUUGAAGGGGGCGGAAACUUCUCAGGUCUCCCUGGGAAGAAGUACGCUUCUUUUCUUAACCCUUGACUUUUUGCGUACUCAUGUUUCCUCGGUGGGCUUGCCCACCGGUUGGACUAUUCUAUAACCUUUUUAAUUUUCAAUCAGCGUCUGAAUUAUCAUAAUAAUUACAACUUUCAACAACGGAUCUCUUGGUUCUGGCAUCGAUGAAGAACGCAGCGAAAUGCGAUAAGUAGUGUGAAUUGCAGAAUUCAGUGAAUCAUCGAAUCUUUGAACGCACAUUGCGCCCGCCAGUAUUCUGGCGGGCAUGCCUGUUCGAGCGUCAUUUCAACCCUCAGGCCCCCAGUGCCUGGCGUUGGGGAUCGGCGUGGGCGGCGGACGGCUCUCCGGAGCCCGAAGCCAAUGCCUGCCGGCCCCGAAAUUCAGUGGCGGUCUCGCUGUAGUCCCCCUCUGCGUAGUAGCACAACUCGCAUUGGAGCUCGGCGGUGGCCAUGCCGUAAAACACCCCACUUCUGAAAGUUGACCUCGGGAUCAGGGGGUAGGGGGAAUACCCGGCUGGAACCUUAAGGCAUAUCAAUAAGGCGGGAGGGAAGGUCGGACUGGCCAAGGGGCACACAGGGGGGGGGAUA
rnacentral:rRNA from 1 species